UUUUAUAAUUUUUUGUGAGAAAAUAAAGUUAUAUGACUUUAGUGAAAAAAUAUCAUAGUUAUAUGACCAUUUGUGAAAUUUACCCAAGAAUGCAAGGAAGGGCUCCCCAGUUAGUUUUCAUAUGAAUUAAACUUGAAUAUAUAUUUUUCAAUGGCUAUAACCAGAUUCGAUUUGGUUCUUGGUUUUUCAUAUAGAAAUCAAAUAAUAGUUAGAGAAUUGGAGCUAGGUUGUUACGAUGGUGUCUGAAGUUUUACUGUCUUGCAGCAUGGGGGUUUUAAAUCUUGGGGAUAGAAGGAUAGACAUGAAAUUAAGUGUCCUAGAAGAGAAUGAGACAAUUUUUGAUACGC
rnacentral:lncRNA from 1 species